rnacentral:rRNA from 1 species
UGGGGAAUAUUGCACAAUGGGCGCAAGCCUGAUGCAGCCAUGCCGCGUGUGUGAAGAAGGCCUUCGGGUUGUAAAGCACUUUCAGCGAGGAGGAAGGUGGUGAACUUAAUACGUUCAUCAAUUGACGUUACUCGCAGAAGAAGCACCGGCUAACUCCGUGCCAGCAGCCGCGGUAAUACGGAGGGUGCAAGCGUUAAUCGGAAUUACUGGGCGUAAAGCGCACGCAGGCGGUUUGUUAAGUCAGAUGUGAAAUCCCCGGGCUCAACCUGGGAACUGCAUUUGAAACUGGCAAGCUAGAUCUCGUAGAGGGGGGCUAGAAUUCCAGGUGUAGCGGUGAAAUGCGUAGAGAUCUGGAGGAAUACCGGUGGCGAAGGCGGCCCCCUGGACGAAGACUGACGCUCAGGUGCGAAAGCGUGGGGCAGCAAACAGGAUUAGAUACCCUGGUAGUCCACGCUGUAAACGAUGUCGA